rnacentral:rRNA from 1 species
CACGUAGGGUGCGAGCGUUGUCCGGAAUUAUUGGGCGUAAAGAGCUCGUAGGCGGUGUGUCGCGUCGGCCGUGAAAACCUGCAGCUUAACUGUGGGCGUGCGGUCGAUACGGGCAUCACUGGAGUUCGGCAGAGGAGACUGGAAUUCCUGGUGUAGCAGUGAAAUGCGUAGAUAUCAGGAGGAACACCGAUGGCGAAGGCAGGUCUCUGGGCUGACACUGACGCUCAUGCACGAAAGCGUGGGGAGCAAACAGG